rnacentral:lncRNA from 1 species
CAUGAUCAUGCCACUACAUGCCAGCCUGGGUGACAGAGCAAGACACAGUUUCUUGGAAACAAACAAACAAACAAACAUGGCAGUACGAGGGCUCAGAAGGGAAGAUGCUAAUAUAUUCACUCAGAGUUCAGAAAAGGCAGAUGGUUUGCUUUGGGCAAAAGUUGUCAGGAGAGGUUUUCAGACCAAAGCAAGGACAUCUUGAGGGGAGAGUCAAAAGGAAAGAAUUAAUCCUAUUUUCAGCUCUCUAUCCCUGAAUACUCUUAGUUCCUUCAAGCAGCAGUGGGCUAACAAGUGAUGCUACAGGACCGUAUGCCAAUGCAAGCGAGGACCCUGUGACCUUCAACAGACCUCUGCGUCACCAUGGAGCUUUGAGAUGAGUGUCAGAAGGAAGAACAAGCUCAUUUUGAAAAGUACACAGACGUUGGAAACUACUAAACAUCGGUAGCCCUGCAUGACCUGUUUCCCAGGACAACCCAUUCUGGGGCAGCGGCUGGUGCCCCAGCAUGCAGAAGAUGGAAAAGGAACAUUAAAAAACCAAACAACAAAAAACAAACCAAAAAAAACUUCACAUACUGAGAUUCCAUCCUCCACAUCCUUCGGAGCCAGCUGCACAGCAAACAGCAACCGUCUGUUUACUCAACACCCCCUGGGAGUCAUCCCAUUCGGAAGUCUUCACCAGUCACGCACAAUGCAGGCCAUCUCACCGAGGCGGUUUUCCUGGUGUCCCACCGCUCUUCCUCUGAGGCCCAUCUCUCCUGCUCCACUGGUCUGUAAGGCUGGCAGCCACAGGCCGGAACAAGACAGCCCACUUGUGGCCUCCCUGCCAAGGCCUGAUGGAUAAAGUGAUACCGGGAGAUCUGUGGUGUCUGAGGCGGCCAGACAGCAAGGGGACACAGCUGUCUGUUCAGCCUUCCAUUUGUGGGCCUGUGGUCUUACGUUUGGAGGAAGAUAAGAACUUCAAAUAUUCUCCUCCAACCUGAUGUAGAAAAGCUGCUGCAGAUCUGAGGCCUGACGUCCCAGGAGGGUAUCUUGAUUGCUCAGUGGAUCUUCAAGACCAGGUGCACACCACCAUGCUGGCUAAUUUUUAUGCAUUUUUUGUAGAGAUGGGGUUUUGCCAUGUUGCCUAGGCUAGUCUUGAACUCCUGGCCUUAAGCAAUCUGCCUGCCUCAUCCUCCCAAAGUGCUGGGAUUAUAGGCGUGAGCCACUGCGCCUGGCCCAUGGAUUUUUCUUGACAAGGCAGCAGCUCUGAACUUGCGAGGCCAGGCAGAAGGCAGGAGUGGUGUGGCUCCCACUGCGCACUGAGGAGCGCCACACUCCUAAGCCAGCUCCCCGCAUCUCUGUUCCCCUCCUCAGAACACUCAUCACACAAACUGAAUGCUAUUUUAAUUAUUCCUUCUAGCAGGGUGUGGUGGCUCACGCUUAUAAUCCCAGCACUUUGGGAGGCCGAGGUGGGCAGAUCACCUCUGGUCAGGAGUUCGAGACCAGCCUGGGCAACGUGGCGAAACCCCAUCUCUACUAAAAAUACAAAAAUUAGCCGGGCGUGGUGGAGCACGUCUGUAAUCUCAGCUACUCGGGAGGCUGGGGAAGGAGAAUCGCUUGAACCUAGGAGGCGGAGAUUGCAGAGAGCCACAGUCGCACCAUUGCACUCCAGCCUGGGCAACAGAGCUCAGUCUCGAUAAAUAAAUAAAUGAAUAAAUAAAUAAUAAAUUAUUCCCUAGGCUCCAUCUAGGUCUUGAGGAGGCUGGGGAGGAAACAGAAACACACUCUUACCAGAAGACUUAGAAUAGUUUAUUAACAUACCCAGAGUCCCCUUCUGUACUCAACACUGUAAGCCCAACCACCAUGCCUACCAUUUAUCGUGCACUUAAGGUCAGGCUCUGCACUCACCAUUCUUAUGUGUAUUAUCUCAUCUAAUCAUUGUAACAAUUCCUUGAGGCACAGACUAUUACCUUCAUUUAACAGAAGACAAAACUGAGCUUAGAGGAAUUUGGUAACCUAAGUGGAGUAGGAAUUUGAAUGUACAUCAGUUUGAUCAUACACUCAAGUACCAGACACACCACUCUGCAUUCUGCCCCAGGAGCCCUUUCUUGAGGCCACAAGAAUAGGAACAUGCUUCCUAUUUCUACCACAGAGGUUCAUCUGGCAGCAGCAGGUGGAGGCUGGGAUAGGUGGUUGGCAGAGACUUGGUGCUCUGUGACCCGUAAGUACAAUCCUGUCCCCAUUUUCUCACAGUUGGGAGCUGAGAUGGGCAGUGUAUAUACACACACACACACACACACAUUCACACUCAGAAACACAUACACACACACACUAUUCCAGAAAGUGUGAUAACCAUUCCAACUCCAGACCACAUCACUAGACAGCCAACCCCACUGCAUUUAGCUGGGGCCAAGUCAAAGAACAAACCAAUGGGCAAGUCGGGUUGCCCUCUUGACCCCAGUUCCAUGUAAUCUAGAGACUUCAUAUCAUUUAUUUAGAUCUCAAGUUUCCUUCCUUCUGCUGUUCAUCAAACCUUCAUGAACACUAGCUACAUGCCAAUACCAUGGAUGCUGGCUAAGAACUCUUGAGUGUGCAGUUGAUUGCCUGGGAUUUGCAUCCUGGUUUCUACCACUUUCUAGCUGUGUGAUGUUGGGCAAGUUCAAAUCUCUGUGCUUCAGUUUUCUUAUCUGUAAAAUGGGUAUAAUAAUAGUUCCUAUCUCAUAGGGUUGUUAUGAAGAAUAAAACAAAAUAAUACAUAUGUUAGGUGUUUAAAAUAUUGUCUGGCACACUGUAGGUACCCAGUGAAGGUUAGCUAUGACUACCUGGUGCUUGGGUUGGAAAUGGUAAGGGUGACAAGUUAGUAACAGAAAUGUCAUGAACUCAGGGGAAAGGCAGACCAAGCGCUUACAUACACACAUGCUGUGGCUGACAGAAUAAUAGUCACCAAAGCUGUCCAUGUCCUAAUCUGCAGACCCUGUGAAUAUGUGACCUUACAUGGCAAAAGAGACUUUACAGAUGUGAUUCAGCUGAGGAGCUUGAGCUGGGAAGAUAUAAUCAUUAGGGCCCUUACAAGGAAAGGAGUGAGGCAGGAGAGUCACAGACAGAGACAGGAGGUGAUGAUGAUGAGGAGGGCUUGGAGUGACGUACUUGAAGAUGGAGGAGGAAGGGGCCACUAGCCAAGGGAUGGAGGCGGACUCUGGAAAAAGUCAAGGAAACACAUUCUUUCCAGGAAGAACACGGUUCUAUUGACGCGUUGACGUUAGCCUAUGAUAUGCAUUUCAGACUUUUGACUUCCUAACUGAAUAAAUGGGAAUGCAUGUGUGUUGUUGUAAGCCACUGAAUUUGUAGUAAUUUGUGAGAGCAGCCAUAGGAAGCUACUACACAUGCUUUUGGCUAUAUUUGCUGCAUUUCACAAAGCCUCUUGUAUUUCACAAAAGCCACCUGCUAACUCAUUAUGACUCAUGUCCCUAGUUCCCAAGGGAUAAAGUGAAAAUUUAAGCUUCCAGAAGGAUGUGUUUACUUUGGUGGAGAUGGCUUCUCGAGUGACUCCUUCUGUUCCUCACGCUGACGGAAUUAGCCUCUCUGAAACAGUGGUGCUUGGCAAGGAAGAAGACUAGAAUAGCCCACUAAAUACCACACAAAACCAACAGUUCACAGUACUUUGAGAGCCUCAAAGUACCAGGACCCAAUUGUUGGUAACAAAUAAUAGUAUCACUUUGCAUGUGCAUGACUUUUUGUGGUUUUUAUUACUUUUAUAUCCACUGCCUCAUUUCGAUGCAGCCACCUAUAGAAAUAACGUUCAAAACCACAUCCUCAGAAAGUGACAGAUCCAGGACUUGAGCCAAGUCUUUUGUCUCUAAAGCCAAUUUUCUUUCUGCUAUAGCAGAAUAUCGCUUGUUCUUACCCUCAUGGAUGGGUGACUGAGAC